rnacentral:tRNA from 1 species
GGAGGUGUCUGGGUUCCUGGUGGGCCCCCCGGUCUUCAAAACCGGAGGGGGGCCGAACGGCUCCCGGCGGGUUCGAUUCCCGUCCGCCUCCGC